UACGUAGGGAGCUAGCGUUGUCCGGAUUUACUGGGUGUAAAGGGCGCGCAGGCGGGUUAGUAAGUCAGAGGUGAAAUCCUACAGCUUAACUGUAGAACUGCCUUUGAUACUGCUGAUCUUGAGUACGGAAGAGAGAGACGGAAUUCCAGGUGUAGUGGUGAAAUACGUAGAUAUCUGGAAGAACACCAGUUGCGAAGGCGGUCUCUUGGUCCAAUACUGACGCUGAGGCGCGAAAGCGUGGGUAGCAAACAGG
rnacentral:rRNA from 1 species